ACCUGAAUCUCAAGGGGACUUUGUUUAAAUGUAGAUUCUGAUUCAGUUCUAGGGUGAGGUCUGAGAUUCAGCAUUUCUAGAAAAUUCCUAGGAGAUGUGAUG
rnacentral:pre_miRNA from 1 species